CUACGGGCGGCACCAGUGAGGAAUAUUGCACAAUGGGGGGAACCCUGAUGCAGCAACGCCGCGUGGAGGAUGACGCAUUUAGGUGUGUAAACUCCUUUUAUAUGUCAAGAAAAUGACGGUAGCAUAUGAAUAAGCACCGGCUAACUCCGUGCCAGCAGCCGCGGUAAUACGGAGGGUGCAAGCGUUACUCGGAAUCACUGGGCGUAAAGGACGCGUAGGCGGGUUGGAAAGUCAGGUGUGAAAUCCUACAGCUUAACUGUAGAACUGCACUUGAAACUUCUAAUCUAGAGUAUGGGAGAGGGAGAUGGAAUUAGUGGUGUAGGGGUAAAAUCCGUAGAUAUCACUAGGAAUACCUAAAGCGAAGGCGAUCUCCUGGAACAUUACUGACGCUAAGGCGUGAAAGCGUGGGGAGCAAACAGGAUUAGAUACCCCAGUAGUC
rnacentral:rRNA from 1 species